GUGUUCAUAGCUGCAAACAUCAGCGAGGGAAUGAUGGGCACCCUGUCUCGUGAAGACUUCUAGGAUCUUUUCCCAGGCCCAGAGAACUUUUUACGGAGAAAAGCUGUCUGGCGUGCCUGUCAGGAUGUACUGGAGGAAUCUGGCCAAGAUGACUCAAAAUCUUCAAGCAGCUCCUCCAUUAAUGAGUCACCCAAGCAACAGACAUCCACUACUGUAAAUGCAACUCCUGCAAAAUGCACAAGCCCUGAAAAGGUUGUGAAGUUAUUCUAUCCAGAAUAUGUAUUGCACACUGACACUGAGCUUGAGCAAGUCCGCCAACAAUACUUUGAGUUGUCAAAGAAAGGUGAAGAGCGCUGCUGCAAAAUGUCAAAGGAGCUCAGAUGUUGGCUCAUCCGAAACACCAUGACUAGUAUGAUUGCAAUCCUGAGGGCAAAAGGGGAUGGAGAAUCGCAUAGAUACCCGUCAAAACCAGAAAUUACAGCAAUGGCAAAGAGAAUAGUACAGUACUACCCUAUGCUACAGGACCAAGGCAUCAAGAAUACAUGGGUUACCGUGUACACACAGCUAAACAAAAGACUGCAAAAUGUGAGAUCCCCCCAAAAAGCCACUCCAGAUGGGAGACAUUCAAAGAGCUCUGCCAAGAGGCGACGUCUUGAUCAGCCAAGUGACGUAGAAGAAAUGGAUUCAAGUGACUCAACAAUCAUUCUGGAUCUGUCCACAGAAGGGAGGAGCAGCCCAGAGUCGGCCAGUAAAACAAGUGAGUUAGAAGGAAAAAGGAAAGCACAAAACCUACUUGAAGAAGAACCCUCUACCCUGCCAAGUCCUAAUACAAACAAGCCUGCAGAUAUCAACAGUCCAGACACCCACUGUCCAGCAACCUUGGCCAAACACUACGAGACCCUACAAACUUUGUUUAAAAGAAAAAACCCAAACCACCAGGAUGUCUCUCAGCUCCUGGAUUUGGAAUUUUCAGCCAGAAGAGCAUUUAUUGAUUCAAAUACUAUUCGCGAGGAGGACAGACACAAAAAGGUUCUAG
ensembl:lncRNA